rnacentral:lncRNA from 1 species
AAUGGGAGUGACGGAGAGCGACUGUGAAUCCAGAUGAAGCUUCACUGGCCUGGCGGCUGCUCACCUCCUGCUGUGAAGCCCAGCCCGAUUCCUAACAAGACUUGGACAAGUAUCAGUCCACGGCCUGGAGGUCACUGGCUUGAAUCCUGGAGACAAGAUAUUCAUGAGGGACCAGUAUGGGGAAUUUACAUCUCGGUGGAGAGUUUUCCUCUCCAUUUGCCAGCAUGCCAGGUCCUGUAUAACAGUGAAACUAUGUGCAUCAGCUGGUCUGAAUUACCCCACAAGAAGCUGAUUCACCAGAGAAUGCGGCUUUCAUAUCCUGAUGAUUUCAUACCUCUCUCCCCACUCAAUCAACAAACCCAAAUUUUCAGUCCCUCAUCCUCCAGGAUCCCCUUAAAAACCCCAGUCCAGAAUUCCUCAGGGAGAUGGAUUUGAAGGUCUCCUCCCGCCUCUUUCCUCAGAACCUGGCAAUCAUUAAACUCUUUCUCUGAUGCAAACCUUGCUGUCUCAGUGUAAUUG